rnacentral:rRNA from 1 species
UACGAAGGGGGCUAGCGUUGUUCGGAAUUACUGGGCGUAAAGCGCGCGCAGGCGGCCAUUCAAGUCAGGGGUGAAAGCCCAGAGCUCAACUCUGGAACUGCCCUUGAAACUGUAUGGCUUGAGUAUGAGAGAGGUGAGUGGAAUUCCCAGUGUAGAGGUGAAAUUCGUAGAUAUUCGGAAGAACACCAGUGGCGAAGGCGACUUACUGGACACAUAUUGACGCUGAGGUGCGAAAGCGUGGGGAGCAAACAGG